UAAUGAUGGUGAGGGAAAUUUCUAAGCACACCCUUAAAUCUUUCCCAAGCCCGGUUAAGAUUUUCUCCAUUUUUUUGCUUGAAAUUUAGAAUCUUGCUUCUCAAGCA
rfam:Capsicum annuum cultivar Zunla-1 chromosome 3, whole genome shotgun sequence